GCGCUCUCGCCUCGCUUUCCGCGGGAGCCUUCCAACCGGUCCUGGGGAGAAGGACGGGAGCUGUGGGAAGAGCGAGGGUGUAGAGAGGGAAGUUAGGGCUUCCGCUUUCUCCCCCAACUCCAGCGGCGGCGUUCAGUCCUCUGGGUGGAAUGUGCUCUCAGCGGCAGUGACGGCGGCCACAGCACUGGAGGCACCCGAGCCAUACACCCUGCAGCUGGAGAGGAAAGGAUGGCCGAGGUGGGAGAGACUAGAGUGAACCAGCAGGAGGAAGUCCUAGGGCCGCGAAGCUACGGCGGAGAUCUGUCCUGGAAAAGCCUUCUCCACCCUGGGCACUUUAAGCGGCGGUGGCGGCAAACAGCAGGAGGUUGCAGACCCGACAGCGAGCCUGCCUCAUUCCAGUCUUGCUCUGCCCUCCGGAGAUGACAAGUGAGAAAGAAGUGUCCGGCCGGGCCAUCCCCUUCAGACAGAAAAUCAAAGCUAUUUAAAGUAAAGGAUUUGUUUCAAAUCAAGGGAAUGUAACAUCUCAAGUUAAAGAGGGACUGCCUGGGACAGCCCUGGGAUUGUUCCUCUCUCCUGGGAAGGAAGAUCACCUCCAAAGCUUAUCCAUUGAGUCACACUACCCCUGUGGUGGCAGGCUGCCUCUCCAGGUUCCUCAGCUGUGGUGCAACAGAAGCAAGCACAAUCAAGACUCCAUCUGUUCAAGGCAGCUUUCUCAAACCUUGGGGAACCUACUCACAAUGGAUCACAGGCUUCUUUUGUUUCUUGCUGCUUAUCUUGGGAAGCAAAAAUCAGCUGAGUGAAGAUGAGGAAGAAGGUGUUAAAGGUUUGAAGAGAAAAAAUGAAAAGGAUAUACUAAUCCAAGGGGAUGCUUCUCACUAUAUUGCACAGGCUGAUCUGAAACUCCAGGGCUCAACCAACCCUCCUGCCUCAGUCUCCAGAGUAACUGGGAUUACAGAGAGAAGACAAGAAACUUCUAGAAGGACUAUGAAACCUUGAAGAGGAAACUGAAGGAUUUAUAGCCUUGUAGGACUGUGAGAUGUUUUUCACUGCCUGAUCUCAAGGCAACCCAAAAGCCAGAUGUGAACACUGAUGUGGGUGGAGAGAUCUCAAGAAGCAGCCCACUACUUCCCGCUCAAGAAGCAGGAGAGUCUACUGGCAGCAACAGUCAUGGCAGCAGGAGCCUACAGCACCCAAAACAGAAGACUUGUACAAAAUAUAGAAAAAAGAAUACUGUACCCUAAGAUAUUUCUGGCAUAAAUUUCUUCUCUGAGCAGAGGAGCUGUGGCCCCAAGAGGGUAGCAAGAAUCCCCACUAAUUUUUUCUCUCUCUAGCCUCUUGAGGCUUGACUGUGGAGUUGGAAAUGUGGCAGAGCAGGGUAAAUAAAGCCCCAGCUUUCCAACCACAAAAAGGGAAUGCAGGGAACUAUCAAUUUCUGGGGAGACAGUGGAGAAGAAGGAGCUCAAAAAGCAACUUUGAUAACCAAAUUCAAAGAAAUUCUUCAUGACCCAAGAUUAUGCAAAGUUGUCUUAGGUAUGACACCAUACAGAUAAUCUAUUUAAAAAUUGAUGAACAUUAUCUUUUUUAAAAAAUUGUUCUAUGAAAGACAUUGAAAUAUAAUGAUGAAAUAAUGUAUAGAUUGGUGAAAGUCUAUUUAAAAUAUAUAUCUGACAAAGAAUUUGUAUCCAGAACAUAUAAAGAACUGUUAUAACUCAAUAAUAAAAUAACUCAAUUAAAAAUGGGCAAAAGACUUGAACUUCAUCACAAUGGACAUAUGUAAAUCAACUAAGUGCAUCAAAUAUGUUCAACAUCGUUAGCCACUGGGGUAAUGGAAAUUAAAACCAUGACAAGAGACCAGUACAUACCUAUGAUAAUGA
ensembl:lncRNA